rnacentral:rRNA from 1 species
CAACGCCGCGUGGAGGAAGAAGGCCUUCGGGUCGUAAACUCCUUUUGUGAGUGACGAGGAAGGACGGUAGCUCACGAAUAAGUCACGGCUAACUACGUGC